GAACUUAAGCAGGAAAAGAAGCAAGCUGAAAACACACCAAGGAUUAUGGGAGAGGGGCAAGUGCAUGAAGCUUCUCAAUGACAUACAGACACUCUAAAAGCUCAAGAGAUCAAUUAUUCAACUUCAAGAACUGAAAUUUGAACACAGAUUUUGAGCUUCCAAAUCAGCUGCUAAUAUGGGAAAGAUUGAAAUCAGCAAGUUUCUGGCUGUAAGCUAAAAGAGGCUCUUGAAUCAUAUUUCCGCCUACUUAGCAAAUUUCUCUUGCGACAAUUGGAUGUUAUUUGGGGUUCCAUACUAGCAGGAAGAAGUACAAGCAAAGCUAAGUCAUUUUGAGAAUAAAUAUUAUCUCUGUAUAUAUUUGUAAAUGUUAUUUUCUUUCUUUUUUGAGGUUUAUGAUUGAUCCUUGGCAUGUGUCCACUUGUGUAUUGCUCUACUGAAAACAGCCUAAAAAAGAUUUUUCCCCUCAAUGUGGAGCUUCUCUUUAGUUACAAUUCCACUUUCUCCUUCACUUGAGUAUCAGUCUUCAGAGAACUAGCAUAACAAAGGAGUGGAUACACAUAUACACAAAAAAGUCUAUGAGAAAAUUAGUACAUUAAAUUUGUGAAAGCUCAUUUAAAGUAAUUUUCUACUAAAAAUUUUAAUCAAAUGUGUUAAUCAUAUUUCUAUGCUUAGUGAUGUUAAAUAAAAAUUUAAAAGGUGGCAAUCAAUAAACAGAGAUAAAAGCUUCUCAAGAAUAAAUGAAGUAAUAAAAAGACUCACUAAGCUGAAGUGCCUCCUAUCAACAGCAGCUGAUAAAAUAUUAAAAGAUUUGCCUUGUGUAAUGUCUCUGGAGAGCUGUCUUACUGAUGUACUAGGCCAUGAUUGACAACUUUGAGACUUUGCUGGAAGCGACUAUAUCUAUAAUAUUAUGCUGAAUUGCAUAGGUCUUUCUUCUUAAAUGGGGCUAGAAAUAACAUACCACCAAGUGUUUGGCUUUUAGGAAAUUGAGCAUUUUCUUUAGUUCUAGCUGCAGUUUAAUUUCCUCAGAAUUAGACAUUAUGCAGUAUCUGGAACGUAAAAAAACAAAA
rnacentral:lncRNA from 1 species